AUUGAACGCUGGCGGCAUGCUUUACACAUGCAAGUCGAACGGUAACAGGCCGCAAGGUGCUGACGAGUGGCGAACGGGUGAGUAAUGCAUCGGAACGUGCCCAGUCGUGGGGGAUAACGCAGCGAAAGCUGCGCUAAUACCGCAUACGAUCUGUGGAUGAAAGCGGGGACCGUAAGGCCUCGCGCGAUUGGAGCGGCCGAUGUCAGAUUAGGUAGUUGGUGGGGUAAAGGCUCACCAAGCCAACGAUCUGUAGCUGGUCUGAGAGGGCGACCAGCCACACUGGGACUGGGACACGGCCCAGACUCCUACGGGAGGCAGCAGUGGGGAAUUUUGGACAAUGGGCGCAAGCCUGAUCCAGCAAUGCCGCGUGCAGGAAGAAGGCCUUCGGGUUGUAAACUGCUUUUGUACGGAACGAAACGGUCCUGGUUAAUACCUGGGGCUAAUGACGGUACCGUAAGAAUAAGCACCGGCUAACUACGUGCCAGCCGCCGCCGUAAAAC
rnacentral:rRNA from 1 species